rnacentral:lncRNA from 1 species
AUGAAAUCCAAUAUUAUCUUACAAUUAUUUCUUGUUCACUUUGUGAAGAAAAUAUUUGCUGAAUCGGAGUCGGAUUAUCCAGGCAGUAUAUGCGGCGGACAGUGUUGUGACGAAAAAACAGAAGUGUUAUUGAGAAAGCAAGGCCAGCGGGACUUCGCAGAUCUACUGCGGCAUAAUUCAAGGUCACUCCAGGGAUUGCUCAUUUCGACGGCAACGACUUUACAAAUUGUCAAGAAGAGUACUUCGACCACGCCACUGAAGUUUACUGCCGCAGUUGCUGUUGAAACGUUUGGAGAUACUAAUUAAAGAAGGUCACGGCAAAACUUGUUAACCAACCAAAACAGUAGUAGAAAGUUUAUAUAUUCCCUCUCAAAAUUUCUCAUUUCAUUUUAACAAUGAAUUAUCUCCCUUCAAUUCUUCAAUCUGUUUUACCAACCAAACACAAGAAGAGAAAGCUUUCCAUACCCAGGUGAUACGAUUUAUAGCAUAUGUGGUAAAUAAUGGCCCACACAGUCUGUUCCCUCUUAGCUCAGUUGGAAAUUUGUGAAAUUGGAAAUUAUACUCACAGAUUGAGAUUUGGUUGUUGAUACUUUUCCUUGGCUUGUCGAUCCAACUGUGUUCACUCGGUAAACUUGGUUGGGAAGGAAAGUUGUGAUAAGGAAAUAUGAGCAAUUCCACAAGGACCAGCUAGCCGAACCUAACACCGUUGUCGAACUUUUGUAAUAACUCA